GACGAACGCUGGCGGCGUGCCUAACACAUGCAAGUCGAACGGAAAGGCGCUGCUUUUGCGGGGUGCUCGAGUGGCGCACGGGUGAGUGACACGUGAGUAACCUGCCCUUGACUGUGUGAUAACUUCAGGAAACUGGGGCUAAUACCGGAGAGAAGCUCCUGCUGCAUGGUGGGGGUUGGAAAGUUUCGGCGGUUGGGGAUAGACUCGCGGCUUAUGAGCUUGUUAGUGUGGUAGUGGCAUACCAAGGGUUUGACGGCUAGCCGGCCUGGGAGGUGGGACGGCGACAAUAGGACUAAGAUACGGCGCAGACGGCUACGUGCCGCAGCAGUGGAGAGCAUGGCAGAGUGAGGGGACGCCUGAUGCAACAACGCCGCGUGCGUAAAGACGUGCUACGAGUUGUGAACCUCUUUCGCCUGUGACGAAGCGUGAGUGACGGUAAUGGGUAAAGAAGCACCGGCUAACUACGUG
rnacentral:rRNA from 1 species